CACAUUUCUCAGAAAUUUGACAACAAAACAAAACAAAGCGAGAUAUGUCGAGCCAACAAAGAAGGCGCAGUUGGAAAAUUGAGUAAUUAGUAAUGAAGUAGCAGGCAUAUUUGGAAAAUUAUGCCGAUAAACAGGAUGGAAUUUGGGAAAAAAUGUUAUAAAUCGAGUGGCUCAUUUACGAUGUGCUCCAAACAUUUGGCGAACUUUUUUUCGCCUUUUCAACGUGCUAAGUAACAAGUUAAGAUGACUGCCAUCAUGGGCCGGUAAGAAACCGCAAGCAAAGGGCAGACAACCUUCCAGGAAGCUGCCUCCUGUCCCCGAGCCGAAGCUGCAGUUCAGCAAGAGCAGGUCAGCAAAUUGCUACCCUGAUCAAACGUAAACUAAAGCGCUCUGCUGUGAUUGCACUCCGUAAAUGUGAAAACUUGGUGCAUGCUGAGAAAUAUCAAACAAGAAAACUCCGUGAUGGACGCCGUGAGAUGGAGUAACGCUGUGUGGCAAAGAAAUGCGGCCAAUUCGACGGGCCUGAAAAAUCCAAAUUGGCUUUUGUGAUCCGCAUCCGCGGUAUCAACAAAGUUGCACAAAAAGUGCGUAGUUUUACAGUUCUGUCUUCGCCACAUUAAAACGGUGUGUUCAUCAAAUUGAGCAAGGCAACCAUUAAUAUGCUACGUAUGCCGAACCCCCUAUAUGGGGUUAUCCAAAUCUUAAAUCAGUUUGUGAAUUGAUGUACAAACGUGGAAUGGUCAAGCGUGUCCCAAUCUCUGCUUUGUGAUCGAACGCAAAUUUCGCGAAGCGCACGAAAUUCAGUGCGUUGAUUCACUUCACUUCAAGAAAGCCCCCAACUUCCUGUUGCUAUUCAAGCUCAACACAUCAACCCGAGGCUGGCGCAAGAAGGCUAAUCACUACGUUGAGGUUGGUGAUUUCGGUAGCCGUGAGGAUAAGAUCAACAAAUUGCUGCACAAGAUGGCUUAAAGAAAUUGUUGUUUUGUAUUUAAGUAGACAAUAUAAUUUGGCACAUCUUCAAAAGACGCCCAAGAAAAAAAAAAAAAGAAAAUUAAAAAAUUCCUGAAGUUGCCUUUUCACGGGUCGAUUUCUGUCGACUGGAAAAUUUACUUAAGAUAUCGACUAGCCAAAACGCUUACAUUUUACGGUUGAAUUGCAAUUUACACGGGUAGAUUUUGGUUAAA